GUGUGUAACACAAAUCGGCGACC
rnacentral:siRNA from 1 species